AUUGAACGCUGGCGGCAGGCCUAACACAUGCAAGUCGAGCGGCAGCGGGAAAGUAGCUUGCUACUUUUGCCGGCGAGCGGCGGACGGGUGAGUAAUGCCUGGGAAAUUGCCCAGUCGAGGGGGAUAACAGUAGGAAACGACUGCUAAUACCGCAUACGCCCUACGGGGGAAAGCAGGGGACCUUCGGGCCUUGCGCGAUUGGAUAUGCCCAGGUGGGAUUAGCUAGUUGGUGAGGUAAUGGCUCACCAAGGCGACGAUCCCUAGCUGGUCUGAGAGGAUGAUCAGCCACACUGGAACUGAGACACGGUCCAGACUCCUACGGGAGGCAGCAGUGGGGAAUAUUGCAAAAUGGGGGAAACCCUGAUGCAGCCAUGCCGCGUGUGUGAAGAAGGCCUUCGAGUUGUAAAGCACUUUCAGCGAGGAGGAAAGGUUGAUGCCUAAUACGUAUCAACUGUGACGUUACUCGCAGAAGAAGCACCGGCUAACUCCGUGCCAGCAGCCGCCGUAACAC
rnacentral:rRNA from 1 species